rnacentral:rRNA from 1 species
UACAGAGGUCUCAAGCGUUGUUCGGAUUCAUUGGGCGUAAAGGGUGCGUAGGUGGCGCGCUAAGUCAGGUGUGAAAUUUCGGAGCUUAACUCCGAAACUGCAUUUGAUACUGGUGUGCUUGAGGACUGGGAGAGGAGACUGGAAUUCAUGGUGUAGCAGUGAAAUGCGUAGAGAUCAUGAGGAAGACCAGUGGCGAAGGCGGGUCUCUGGACAGUUCCUGACACUGAGGCACGAAGGCCAGGGGAGCAAACGGG